GAACAAACUGCCUCUCCAGCCAGCUGUGUGUCCAUGAAGAGUGAGCGGUCCAUGGGUAAACCUGAGGACUUCUCAAAUGGACCCCAACCUGCCAGUAAAAGAAUAUUCCGAUCCGCCCAGAAGAAGUCCAGUGGUUCCAGGCAGGCUGCAUGGUGCCCAGCAUCCUCAAACAAACAUGGACUCCAUAUUUGUGAUUCUUGAGGAGAACAUUGUCACUUUUGUGAAGGAAGAAUUGAAGAAGAUUCAGAGGAUUUUGAGUUCAG